rnacentral:rRNA from 1 species
UACAGAGGUCCCAAGCGUUGUUCGGAUUCACUGGGCGUAAAGGGUGCGUAGGUGGUGAGGUAAGUCGGAUGUGAAAGCUCGGAGCUCAACUCCGAAAUGGCAUUGGAAACUACCUUGCUCGAGGGCUGGAGGGGGGACUGGAAUGCUUGGUGUAGCAGUGAAAUGCGUAGAUAUCAAGCGGAACACCAGUGGCGAAGGCGAGUCCCUGGACAACUCCUGACACUGAGGCACGAAAGCUAGGGGAGCAAACAGG